GAAAAGCCGGGUUCUCAUUGGCUCCUCUUCCCACCCUUCACGCUCCGGCCCGCCCCCGGCACCGCCCGGGAACCGUCGAGAGGGGAACCGCCCCCGUUCCAGUCGGCCCGGGGGCCAGAACCUUGUCCCGCGGACCUUACGCGCCGGACGCCGGCCGAGAUCUCAAGCCAAAGCCCUAUCGCAGUAGCCGUGCCUACGGUCCUAUUGACCCCACGGCGAUGGACCUGAAUUUGCAUGAAGAUUGACUCUUCACGGCCACCUAGUUGAAUCGAGGAAUCCAAAUGAAACCUCACUCAAGGAAGCCAUAAAAUUAUCUCUUGCCAUUGCAGUCCAGUGCCAACUUGAAACGUACACAGAUGCGAAUAACGCUCCGAACACCUGAGGUUUGAAAUCCCAGAGCAAGGCGCCUUUGAUACUCCCAGUGCCUGAGGUCGGCCCCCACGCCCUGUUGUGACACACAUGCCUAAGCACUACGCCUGCAACACGCUCACACUCAGCGUGAACAUCCAGAGAAUCGACAGUCAGGUCAUAGGGAUGCAUCUUUAAUUUGUCAAAAAGUUCCUUCAGGGUCAGAUUUUUCUCCUUGCUGCUGUAGACCACUCUGUCAGCAUCAAUGUGAGCUAACUGGGCUCCCGUUUUUGCCGAGUGCUGGACCCUGAGCAGUGCCCACGUUUACCUUCCUGCAGUUAUAAAAAUCUCGGUGGGGGUUGUUCUUCAACUCCUUUAACUCGUCCAUCUCGUUGAGCAUCUCAUGGACCUGGAACUUGGAAGACAGGAACUUCAGGCGCCGGUUUUACAUACGGGCUUCUGAAGACGGUAUCUCAACUGAAAGACCAUGUGACUCUAAUUUGAGAAUUCAAACCACUUUCUGGUCAGUGGGAGAAAUAUGUGGGGAUGAAUAAGGUGUCACAUCCCUCAAACCCUAUCAUGCAUGCCCUGCCUUCUGUCGUUAUGGAUGGAUCAGAACAUCAUCUUAUGAUAAGUUAUCAUUCCUUUGGAUGGUUUUAAAGAGAACCUAAUCUGUGGCUAAAAAUGGAGAGAUUCUAGAAUAAAAUUUUCUCAGAACUGCC